rnacentral:misc_RNA from 1 species
GAAAUGCGAUAAGUAAUGUGAAUUGCAGAAUUCCGUGAAUCAUCGAAUCUUUGAACGCACAUUGCGCCCUCUGGUAUUCCGGGGGGCAUGCCUGUCCGAGCGUCAUUGCGAACCCCUCAAGCACGGCUUGUGUGAUGGGCCCUCCCGCGUCUUGGUCGUCAAGACGGGCCCAAAUGCAGUGGCGGCUUCGCGGUUAUCCGAUCAGCCAGAGCGUAUGGGGACUCUCUCUCUUGUCACACACCCGCGGCGCGGACCGACGCCUGUCGACCUUUAUUCAUCUUCUCUCGGUUGACCUCGGAUCAGGUAGGGAUACCCGCUGAACUUAAGC